rnacentral:snRNA from 1 species
AUACUUACCUGGACGGGGUCUAUGGACUAUCAAGAAGGUCCAUUGCCUAGGGUGUUGUCCUCCAUUGCACUUAGGAGGAGCAACACCCUAAGAUCUCCCCAAGUGGGAGAGUCUACGUCAUAAUUUAUUUCUGAGGGGGCCUGCGUUCGCGCGGCCCCUAU